UUCCACAUCUACAGUCAAUGAAGGGAGCA
rnacentral:piRNA from 1 species